UGUUCUGUGGCAUAGUUGGUUAAAGCACUGAUCGAGCUUUAGCGGUGUCGUGGGUUCGAAUCCCACCAGAAUGC
rfam:Aedes albopictus isolate Foshan contig20140, whole genome shotgun sequence.